CCAGCUGGGCAGAGAGAUCUUCCUCCUGUCGUCACUGGGCACAAAGUGGUUAUGGAUAUUUUGCUUGGAAAUCCAGAAGAGCAGUGCAGAAGUGCAUGAUGCUGCACUUAGGUUAGCACCCUCACACAUGCUGCUGAUGCAAACACUGACAGCUGCAAAUGGGACAAGCUGUGAUAACUGACUACAGCACCCAGGCAAGAGCAUCUUCAGAGUCUGCAGUACUCAUCAGCAAAUGGCUUGGCCUGGUGAGCUGAAGGCUGCUGAAUCUUCUCUUCCCUGACGUGUGGUGCUUGAACUCACUCAGACAUUUUGCAGCCUGAAGGGCUGAUGUCACAGCUGCUGCUCAGAAACACCUAGGUCCAGGCCUCUGCUCCACAGUGGCUGUUCAUGUCCCAUCACUGUGUGGCUCAGCCACUGAGCCUAGGAAGGCAGUUUGUGCUCUACAAAAAUGGCUCCUAAUAGUGACACCUUGUUCACACAGGGGUAUUUGAUUUCAUCAGGUUUUCAGCUCCAGAUAACCUUAACUGAAUGGGAACACAGGGGAGUGUACAGCAAAGGCUUCCUGUGGUCCUUGCUCAGGGAGUUACUCUGUGAGAGCUGUGACAGCCUUGUUAGCCGGCAGCAUAUGGUGACUUUGUCUCUCCUUCCCAGGGCAGAGAGAAGACAACAUAUCUGCCUGGUUUUCUUCCCCUCUGUGCCUGAGGCUGUGUGUGCAUGGAACAGGGAGAGGCUUAUUUGGCUGGGUAGGGUAUUACAAGGCAUCAGCAUUACCAAUGGCCUCUCUUGAUUGCCAAAUCAGCAUACAGCUAAAGUCCUGAUUCUGGUACUGGUGUGCCAGGAUUGCUGGCUGCAGGCAGGUCACUCCUUUGUGCUUUCACUCCUGUUUCUGUGCAUUCUGCUGGGACUGCCAAGGCUCUGUCCCACCACAUAAUCAGCAGCCCUGCUGCAGUGAGCUGAACCCAGCCUCUUGCUCAAGGCUCUGCUCCCUGCAUCACAAGCAUAGGAGUGGAGGAUGGAGGGCCCAGGACCUGCCAAGGAAUAUGUUUAGGGGUUAAACAACAACCUCUGUUCAGCUGGUAUAGACCUAGCUGUGUGCAUGGUAUCAACACAGGAGGUGAAUGAAAAGGAGGAACCUCAUGCAAGGAGAAAAACCUGUUAUAAAAUUAGAAAUGUCUAUUAGAACACUUUUCCAAAGCUCUCAAUGCUGGCACUAUGCUUGCUCAUCAGACUCUAAAGAGAGCUUGCCACCUAAGCCAGUGCUGCUAGAAGAAGGUCAAUAGCAUCCAAGAAAUUCAUACUUCCAAAGUUUGGAUUUAAAUAAUUAUCUUCCCUACAGUGCAGAUUUUCUUCCUUGCUUGCCACCUGUCAUAUCUUGUCUGUAUGUCAUGCACUUAUGAAAUAAAGACAUUAAUAAGUAA